rnacentral:rRNA from 1 species
AAACUUUACACUGCGCGAAAGCGCGAUAAGGGGACCUCGAGUGCGUGCGCAAUGCGUACGCUUUUCAUAUGCCUAAAAAGCAUGUGGAAUAAGGGCCGGGCAAGACCGGUGCCAGCCGCCGCGGUAACACCGGCGGCUCAAGUGGUGGCCGCUUUUAUUGGGCUUAAAGGGUCCGUAGCCGGGCCAGUUAGUCCUCUGGGAAAUCUUACGGCUUAACCGUAAGGCUGCCAAAGGAUACUGCUGGCCUUGGGACCGGGAGAGGCAAGAGGUACCUCAGGGGUAGGAGUGAAAUCCUGUAAUCCUUGAGGGACCGCCAGUGGCGAAGGCGUCUUGCUAGAACGGGUCCGACGGUGAGGGACGAAAGCUAGGGGCACGAACCGG